GCGGUGAAAAAUGCAUAGAUAUCACGCAGAACUCCGAUUGCGAAGGCAGCAUACCGGCGCUCAACUGACGCUCAUGCACGAAAGCGUGGGUAUCGAACAGGAUUAGAUACCCUGGUAGUCCACGCAGUAAACGAUGAAUACUAACUGUCCGGGCCGAUUGAGGUCUGGGUGGUACAGCGAAAGCGUUAAGUAUUCCACCUGGGGAGUACGCCGGCAACGGUGAAACUCAAAGGAAUUGUCGGGGGCCCGCACAAGCGGAGGAACAUGUGGUUUAAUUCGAUGAUACGCGAGGAACCUUACCCGGGCUCAAACGACGGAUGGAUGUCUCUGAAAGGAGGCAGUCCUACGGGACAUCCGUCGAGGUGCUGCAUGGUUGUCGUCAGCUCGUGCCGUGAGGUGUCGGCUUAAGUGCCAUAACGAGCGCAACCCCCAUCGCCAGUUACCAGCAAGUAAAGUUGGGGACUCUGGCGAGACUGCCGGCGCAAGCUGUGAGGAAGGCGGGGAUGACGUCAAAUCAGCACGGCCCUUACGUCCGGGGCGACACACGUGUUACAAUGGCAGGUACAGAGAGAAGCGAUGCGGCGACGCAGAGCGGAACUUCAAAGCCUGUCUCAGUUCGGAUUGGAGUCUGCAACCCGACUCCAUGAAGCUGGAUUCGCUAGUAAUCGCGCAUCAGCCACGGCGCGGUGAAUACGUUCCCG
rnacentral:rRNA from 1 species